ensembl:lncRNA
AUGCAGCAGGAGCAGAGCAGCAGAAACCAGAGCAAACCCGCUCACUUCCCCUCUCUGCUCUCCUUUGCACCGACUGCCUCCGGUGAGAGUGAAAGCCCACGAGAGCUCUGCAGCGAGAGCAGGGCUUUGCAUCGAGAGCUGGGCUUUGCAUUGAGAGCGGGGCUUUGCAUCGAGAGUGGGGCUUUGCAUCGAGAGCGGGGCUCUGCUGCCAGCCAGGACCCCGCAGCUCCUGGGUUCAGCCUGGCCUCACCCUCGGCACGGCUCGAGGAUCUCCCUUGGCUCCUGCCUCCAGCCACGGAGGCUUCGAGGAGGCUGCGAGGGGCGGAGGGGAUUCCCCGCUCGUUUCUCUGCAGAGGAGCCGUCUGGGGCUUUGCAGUCGCAGAGGAGGCGGAUAUGCAAAAGCCUUGGGCUGCUCUUAACGCAGGCAAAAGCGGCGGUGCUGGAGGCCGAGCGUUCACCCUCGCAGCAGGGUGGGACCUGGAGCUGUCACCGUGGGGGCAGCGAGAAGCCCUCUGCCCGCCCCCCCCGCUGCCAGGCUGGGUUUUGGGGUGGGCAGGUGAAACCCCGCGAGGGGCAGGAGACCCUUGCUGGCCCCCAAAACUGGAGCAGGAGCACCGGCGUGGACGGUGCCGCAGCUGGGAGCAUCGCCGGGAGCUAGGACACGGGGAUGCUGGGCUCCACCCUGGGCACCCCCGCACCGCACCGGAGUUUUCUGGCCCUUUCUGGCCCCGACCACCUGCUCGUAGGGAUCCUCGGUGGCCUGGGGGCUAUGGCCACAGGGGGGGAGCACUCUUGUGCCUCCCUCUUGGAGCUCCAGGCCGGGCAGUGCAGCGGGCCGGGGCCGGCAGCGGGGCCGGAGAGCCGUGCGCCGCGGCGAGGCCCCGCCAAGAGGAUGAAAACAUGGGGCUCAAGUUAUCCUGCCUCAAAGGUGGGUCCGGGAGGGUCCUGGGCGCGCAGGGAGGGCUGGGAGGGAGGUCGCGCUGCGAGGAGCUUUGCUGACUCCUAAAGGCAUCGCUGCUGCCAGCGCGGGGCUUGGCCUCUGAAGUGACGCUGCUGCAGCUUGAGCGAGGGGACGCCGGGGGGGGUGGGUUUCCAGCCCUGGAAAAUUCGGGGUACGGUCCUGAGCUCGCUCCCGCUGCCCUGGGCUUGGGGUUUGCUCAGCGGUGGGGCCGCGGGAAGGAUGCUCGGGGUCGGGGUGCUCGGGGCCAGGCUGGGAGCCGGGCUGACCCCAAGCAUCCUUGGGUAGCAGUGCCCGGCACGGGCCAGCUCGCUGCUGCUUUCCGUAGAAAAAUGCUUUUCGUGCUUUUCACCAAACUUCACUUUUCCUAACGGGGGUCGAGCCACCACGGCGCCUGCAGGCGCUCUGGCUCGGCGAGAGGGACGUGGGAGCUGUUGGCGCGCCCAGGCCACUCGUUAGCUCCGAGUGCCACUUGGCAGGGGCUGGGACGUGGGGUUGGGGACGUUGGGGACUUGUGGCACGGCCCGGGGGGGCUGCAGGGACGGCCGGGGGGGCGGUGGCCACCUCGCGUCCCCGCGGCACCGGCACCCGUUGGGGCGCAUCCCCUGCUUGGUCUGGGGAUGGAGCCAAGGGCGGUUUGGGAAGCGGUGGGAACCCGGUUCCGUUGUCACAGCGAGGGUGUCCCCAGCGAUGCUUCACCCCGAAAUGAGCCCUCGGAGCCCUGGAGGAGAGGGGACACAUCACCCAUGGGGUCCCCAUCCAUGGGGUCCCCGUCCUGGUGUCCCCAUCCAUGGGGUCCCCGUCCCUGGUGGAUAAAGUUUUCCCCCAAAAAACCUCCAAUAUUGAUGAAUUUUAAAGAGCUGCCUCCCCCCUCUGUUUUCUGGUCCAUUUAAACCCCCCCCAAAGCAGGAUGGAGCCUCGGCACCCACGUGCCCCCUCCCCAUUUUUGGGGUGCCCGGCCAGGCAGCCUGGUGCAGGGGGCUUGGGGGUCCCAGAGACACCCCCCCCCCAACCCUGGGGCGGCUGCAGAGAGGGGCUGGGGGACACCAAAGCACCCUGAUUUCCCUCCGUCCACCCCAAAACUGGGUCAAAACCGAAUUCGUUUGGGGAACCAAACCAAAUUUGGGUCCCCAAACCAGCCUCGGCUCCGGCAGACAGGCUCGGAGCCCGCAAUAAAACAACGCCCCCCCCCCCCCCCCCCCCCCCC